GAUUAGGAGAGACGGCAUCCAUCCCACUUUGGAUGGAGCGGCUCUCUUAUCUAGAAAUAUGGCGAAGUUUAUCUCUAAAACCUGACAGUCCAGAGUUAGGACCAGGAAGCAGAGCUGCUGUCUUACACACUUCUCUGCGCUUUCUUUAGAACAGUCACCCAUCCAAAACCCCAUAGAGACUGUGUCUGUCCCCCGACCACCUAAAUUAUUUAAAGAAAUAAAAACAAGAGGAGUUCAACAUAAAAAUCUAAUAAAAAUUAAAACCAACUCCUCAGUAGCACAAAAUAAGAGAAUGAAAUGUGGGCUGUUAAAUAUCAGACCUGGUUGUCCCACAAGGAGUAUGUUAGCCUAAAUGAAUCCACCCCCCCCCCAGUCAUAUUAAUACUCACAUUCCUCGAGGCACAGGCCGAGGAGGUGGAGUAGCAGCCAUAUAUGAUUCGAGCGUUUUAAUGGACCCUAAACCUAAACUAAAUUAUAAUUCAUUUGAAAGCCUUGUUCUUAGUCUUUCUCACCCAAACUGGAAAACAUUGCAGCCAGUUCUAUUUGUUAUAGUGUACCCAACUCCUGGACCGUACUCUGAUUUUAUAUCUGAAUUCUCAGAGUUUCUAUCAAGUUUAGUCCUUAAAUCAGAUAAAGUAAUUAUUGUAGGUGAUUUUAAUAUUCAUAUGGAUGUUGACAAUGACAGCCUUAGUAACGCAUUUAUAUCAUUAAUAGACUCAAUUGGCUUCUGUCAGAGUGUAAAUAAACCAACUCAUUGUUUUAA